rnacentral:lncRNA from 1 species
GUAAUUAUGCCCCAGUGACUCUACCCCUUUCUUCUCUGCUCCAGGGGGAGGCCCUGACCUCCUGUCAGCAUGCAAGGCUACCAAGGUGUUGGCCAACAGAGCUAGGGAUCCUGUACAAAUUUUUUAUACUUCUCUGGAGCCAGCACUUACCACCAAGGUACCAUUGGGAUUGAGUGUCCUGAAAAUCCCUAGCAGAAGACAUGAAUUAAUUAAUCAAAAGGCUGCUAUUUGAGGAUAAACAUCACCGGUGAUGCCUCCCAGGAGAAAAAGCUGCAGGUUCAGCAGAAACAGUGAAGAGCUCACUGGGGUGACUGUUGGCCCUGGAGACGAGGUCCCCGGGCUGUGACCCCUGGUUUAAAAUCCUUGUACCAUCCUGAAUUUCUUGUGUGAACUCGGCAUUCAUACCUUUCCACCAUAUUGUUAUCUUUUUUCGUAAAAUGAGGAUACUAUUUUUUUCAAAAAAUAAGGAUUUUGCAACAAGGCAAUAAAAGAGGUGGGGGGACCCA